rnacentral:misc_RNA from 1 species
GAUGAAGAACGUAGCGAAACGCGAUAGCUAGUGUGAAUUGCAGAUUUUCGUGAAUCAUCGAGUCUUUGAACGCAUAUUGCGCCCCCUGGUAUUCCGGGGGGCAUGCCUAUUCGAGCGUCGUAGUCACGCUUCAAGCCCCGGCUUGGUGAUGGGGAACGCCCUCUCUCAGGGGGGGGGCCUCCUUCAAACGCAACUCCGGACGCCUCUGUUGGCUGGGAGCGCAGCAGCAGUGCGCUUCCCCGAGGCGCCCGGGCGCCCCCUCGCGGGCCCGAGAUUGCUAGACCUCGAAUUAGGCAGGGAUACCCGCUGAACUUAAGCAUAUCAAUAAGCGGAGGA